GACGAACGCUGGCGGCGUGCUUAACACAUGCAAGUCGAGCGGUAAGGCCCUUUCGGGGGUACACGAGCGGCGAACGGGUGAGUAACACGUGGGUGACCUGCCCUCAGCUCUGGGAUAAGCCCGGGAAACUGGGUCUAAUACCGGAUAUGACUCCAUGACGCAUGUUGUGGGGUGGAAAGCCUUGUGCGGCUGAGGAUGGGCCCGCGGCCUAUCAGCUUGUUGGUGGGGUGAUGGCCACCAAGGCGACGACGGGUAGCCGGCCUGAGAGGGCGACCGGCCACACUGGGACUGAGACACGGCCCAGACUCCUACGGGAGGCAGCAGUGGGGAAUCUUGCGCAAUGGGCGAAAGCCUGACGCAGCGACGCCGCGUGAGGGAUGAC
rnacentral:rRNA from 1 species